rnacentral:pre_miRNA from 1 species
UGUAACCACAGUUUUACACAGUCUAUAUCUAAUGUUUAACUGUCCGUCUUAUUUAAUUUUUUUUAAGAUUAGUAAUUUUAUGGGUAUAGAUGAUAAAACUUAAAUAAUAAUUUAUAUGUGACUAUUUUUUUAAUUUUUUUUUAUAAUUUUAAAUAAAAUAGACGUUCAAAUGUUAGACACGAAAAUCCACAUCUGUAUUAAAA